AAGUAAAGCAUGUGAAAGUCAGUGGCUGGGACGGCUGGCGUCUGGUGGCGAGAAGCAGCCAUAUGGUGAAGCUUCUUGCCUGCCUGCACGACACCUGGACAAGACUAACCGGCUGAACUUUUCAACUUUGCAGCCGGCCUACUAUCCACUGGCAACCUUCUUCUAUCAGUAGAAACACAGCUACCAGACAAGCAACCGCUGAGCUGCUCUAAAUAGGUGCCACUGUGAAUUGGCGACAGAUGGAAACGAAGGUUCCCUGCAGAGUGGUUCCCCUGCAGCUGUGCUGUGUACCCGGUGCCAGGGAGUGAUGACAGCUCAGCAAGGGGGCACCCAGAGACAUAGAAGACAGCACCAUCUCCAUCUCACUUACGCCCUCCCUAGAACACACUAGCAGGCUGUGCAAAGGUGCAAAGAGGAGGGGUGUUAGCUCCAAUACCAGCCUCGAGGAAUGUGAAAGUAGAGAUUUAAGCAACCCUGUUCGCUGCAGCAGCUCCCGCCACCACCAAGCAAGGCCUUUCUUGAUCAAGACAAGCUAGGAGAACAUAAAAGCAGAGCCAAG
rnacentral:lncRNA from 1 species